UUGCUUCAGCAACACAUAGACUAAAAUUGGAACGAUACAGAGAAGAUUAGCAUGGCCCCUGCAUAAGGAUGACACGCAAAUUCGUGAAGCAUUCCAUAUUUAA
rnacentral:snRNA from 1 species